AUUUUCACGGGAAAUUGGCCAGUCAUAAAAUAUAUGAGCUAAUAUAAGGUAUAGAUUCUGUUGGAUGAUGUUGAUUAGCAUCAAGUAGUUGCUGCUAUUUUCUUCUGGAGGUUGAAAAAUGAAUUACAAAUGGAUCUUACUUUCGGUGGAAUUGUGGAUACACACUCAUUAAAUAUUUUUAUUGUCUACAUGAGAUGUUGUCCGUCACCCUUUGAACCUAUCACUAGGAUUUACAUGUGACAUCAAUGGUGAAGGAGCUUUCCAUUUGGAUGCAAUUUUAUUGGAGGAAUCUCUAUUUUGCUUAUUGUUUUAUUUCUUGGGUUGAACUAUAUCUUUUCUCUACUAUAUACAUAGCCUGAUACAAAAGCAAACUUUUCUAUCGCCUCUUUUAAGUUUUUUCCAACCUCAAGUUUUGGCUUCUAUAUCUCACUUUGUGUAAAUAUUUGAUUCUUCAAAACCAUUAUACAUGGCAGACAUAGCUUACAACUAUUUCCUUUGCCCUUUGUAAGGUUUGUUAAGAUCUUCUAUAUAUAAGUUGAUUCUUUGUUUAUUUCCUGUGCUUGGUAGUUUAUCUUCGUAGUUCUGAAUCUACACCCUGCAGGCCUUUGAUUUGUUUGAAAUUCUGAAUAAAGAGGAAGAAAUACUUUUUACUAUUAGGGAGAAGCAGCUUCAAGUACUAUUAAACUCAAUUAGUUGAUUUGGCUUCUUUCCAUGCUAAUUAGCCAUUCAAUUCUGGUAGCCUUUGAUUAUGUAAUUGCUAUUUGAACUUGUGCUUUCAAUCUUUAAUUAUCUCCCCUUUAUGAGUUUAUUUCAUUUGAGCCUGUGCUUUCCGCCCCGAUACACUUCGAAACACGAGUCUGCCUAAUAGAAACAUACCGAACUAUUACUUUGGAGUUUGUUGGAAGUGGUUAGGUGCAGUAAUGACUAGUUGAUACUAGAACAAAAGGAGGUGAUGCAACUCCAAAUGACUGUAAAAAUACUACUACUUGUGGAAUUCUCUCAGUCUUCCUUCCUUUUCUGUUUCAGUAAUUGCCUUAGGGUGGUACCCUUUUUUCUCCUUUUGUGGGGGUAGUCCUUCCCUCAAGACUACCUAAAGCAUCAACAUUAAGCUGCAAUGCCUCUAUCCUAAAUAAACUGCUCCCUUGAGACAUAAAUUUUCUAGUACUAGAUAGUAAAAACCACUAAUCUUUGAGGGCGAAUUGACCUUCCAUAUCAGCUUCCAUGAACACUAAUCAAUUAGAGUUCUGUUAGAACAAUCUAUGCUAUUACCCCAUUUGAGAAUGUCAUUUUUCAAGAGGUUGACAGUAGUAGAUUGUAGCCUUCAAGUAAAUUCUGCAAAUCCAUCUCCAGUAUUGUGUAAUACCAUACAAGCAAGCUUAUAGGGCCAAGAAAAGAGGCCUGCAAGCUAUAUAUGGAUCUUUUGAAGAAGGGUACUGUCUAUUACCUGCAUAUUGUGAGCAAAUCAAGAAGACAAAUCCUGGAAGUCAUGCUGAGGUUUUUAAAGCUGGUUCAGAUAGUCGCUUUCAGAGGUUCUUCAUUUCCUAUUGUGCUUCUUUUCAUGGGUUCCUGAAUGGUUGCUUGCCUGUUAUUUGUCUUGGUGGUAUCCAGCUUAAGAGCAAAUACUUAGGUACUUUACUAUCAGCGACUUCUUUUGAUGCUGAUGGUGGAGUAUUUUCACUAUCUUUUGGUGUUGUCGAUGAAGAAAAUGAUGAUAGCUGGAUGUGGUUCUUGUUAGAGUUGCGCAAAGCUCUAGACAUGAGCACUGAGAAGAUACUGAUUGCAGGUAUUUAGCAGUAGAUUUCAAAUAUUUUUCACAUUUGGAAUUUAUGGAAUUGAAGAUAAAGUUUUUGCGCAAACCUAAAGAAGUUGUUUUGAUAACACUUUGCCUUAAGUAAAACAUCUUAAUACAGUUAUAACAUGGUUAAAUAAAGGGUUAUGUUAUAACGAACUAGUGAAUGGAGGAAACUAGUAAACCAUUAUCCAAGAUUAAUAACUAGAGAACUUAAGAAUGGAGGAAACUAACGAUGUGAUAAAAAUAAUCAAACAAGUUGAUGAAACUUGUGAAUCAAAUUCGAAUGUUAGGAGAGAUUUUCUAGAAUAAAGGAUUGCACCAUAGAUUAGCUAAACCAAAGUGAUAUGGAAGGAUACAAACCAUAUUUGGGAUGGUUUGACAAAGACUCAUUGAGGAAAAUUGUCUUUUAUAAAAUAAACAACCGAACCUUACAAUGGACACCCUGUCUCAGUAAUCACUUCCUUUUGCAGCCAUUCUUUGUUAAGAAUGUUUGAUGAUUUGAUAAUUCAAGCGAAGGGUGGCCUUACAAUAUAUCAAGGACCAGUAAAGACAGUUUAACAGUUCUUUGCAGGCAUUGGAAUAACUGUACCUGAUCGCGUUAAUCCUCAUGAUCAUUUCAUUGAUAUUUUAUAAGGAAUUUGUAAACUCCCAAGCACAGGACUGAGCUAUAGAGAUCUUCCUGUUAGAUGGAUGCUUCAUACUGAUACCUCAUACCACCAGAUAUGGUAGAUUCUUCUGGAUCAAGAGCAUCUUCGGUUGGAGAAAAUUCAGCUGAUGGAGUAAGUCCUGCAGCUGCUACCUCUGAUCAAUCUGGAGACCUGUGGUCAGAGAUCAAAUCCAAUGUUGCACAGAAGAAGGACCGCAUGCGGUUUAACUUUUUGGCAUGGUCGGACUUGUCCCAUCAGAAAACCCUAGUGUAUUGCUUCAAUAUAAGUAUUUCCUUGGAAGAUACGAUUUGACUGGACAACUGACAUAGAAGAGUGACGUGUAUAGCUUUGGAGUUGUCUUAAAAACCUGUAGAUCAUACAAUGCCUCGAGGAAAGCAGAGCCUGGUUACUUGGGCUACCCCGAGACAAAGUUCAGCAAUGUGACAAUCGAAAGCUGAAAGGAUGUCCUCCAAAGACAGUGGCUAAGGUCUCGUCUUCUCUUUUUGUGUCCUAUAUCUACUUUGUCUCUUCUUCCCCCCUCCCUCCCAUCAGACCCAACACAACAACUAUAGUUUAAUCCGAAGCAAGUUGUGGUUGGUUAUAUAUAUAUAUUCUCACCAUCAAUGACACUCUAUUUGGACUCAUCUCAGACUAAUAUUAUACAAGAUAAAAAUUGAAAGUACUCGAAGUUUCUCUAUUUUCUAUUGGUAUUAAAUCUGACAUGACUAAAAAUACUCCUAGAAAAUAUAGGACGUAUGUUAAACGUACUAACAUGACGUAAAAUUAUCUAUCGGUGCGUAUAACUUAAAUCUUUUGUGAUAUGUGAGUACCUUUUAAGGUUCUGCAGAAUCCUUUGAGUCAGUUUACAUUGCUGUUACUAAUGUGGUUACUGAUGUUGUUCAAAUUGUUAGAUCGAUCCUACAAAAUACAAGAACAUUUCCUCUGGUUGUUGUGUUUCUACAUGACAUGAUGCAGUUUCAGAUUAUCCAGGGCAUAACAUUAGGUAGGAAGUUGUGAAGGAAACUAAUUGUAGUAGUUGGUCGACAGUAAGGAGUUAAUAUCAUGAGUUGUUACUAUACGAGCAUCGAUCACAUUGUCAACCCCAAGCCCAAAUUUUCUCGUCUUUUACAAUUUAAUUACUACCUCUGCGGUCUCUGCUGGAGUUUUACUGGUGCUGGAAUGAUUCCUGGUUUAGUUUAUCUUGUUUACUCUUUAUUCCAGCUUGCCUGUGGCGGAUUAGCUGGAUCUACUGCUGCACUGUUAACAACUCCCUUCGAUGUUGUCAAGACAAAAUUACAGACACAGGUUAUUCAUCCGAUGUGUUCCUUUUAUGUUAGUAUGUCGUACAGUUUGCUUGAAACUAGGAUCAAUUUAAAGUAUUCUGAAAGCAUUCCAUUUCUGUGUUUCAUAUCCUUUUUUUCUAUUUAACUGAUUGCUAAUGAGAAACUGAUUUAAGACUGGUAUGAGUGCGCCUUUGGAAAGCUUCAGCUUCUGUACUCCUCAUCUUCCCCUUUACACUAUAUGGACGACUGAUUUGUAUAGUUCCUAAGGAAGUCUUGGUCGUGCUGAUUCCUGGAUCUAGGACUCAUUUUGGUGUAUUCGGCACACUUCAAGAAAUUGGGAAGCGCGAAGGUCUGAAAGGUCUCUACAGAAGCUGUUGGUCGCUGGAAUGCUGAUUUUGACCAUGUGUAUCAAAGUAUGAUCUUUAGUUGGCCAUCAAACUUUCUCAAUGCUGCAGCUGCGAGAGAUUUUAUUUCCCAAAGGAUCUUUGAUUGGCUGAGAGAGAGGGACCAGUUGCGCACAGAUAUGGAUGUUGGGAAUGUCUUCCAAGGAAUGCGUGAAGCAGUCAUGAGAUUUCUUCCAACAUACAAAUUUGAGAGACAUCAAAUUGGCUUAGCAGGUUAUGACUGGUGAAAAGAAGCAAAUUCCUGCCUGGUGUGACAGAAUUUUGUAUCGUGAUAGUUGUUCCACUUUAGCUUUCAGAUGCAGCUUAGAUUGUCCUAUCAUCUCAUCAGUUCUUCAGUGUCCGAAAUGAAGAAAGUGAUGAAGACAUUGACCUUACUUGAAAAGAUUUUUGGGUUGUGGAUAAAUGCUCUAAUAUCAAUAGUUUUUUGUUGAAUUUUUUCAAACUUAUCGCGACUCGAACUUGCUAGUACGUAAAAACUUGACUAAUUAUUUGGACUUGAUUACAUUUUGCUUUUGGGUUUAAAUUACUAGCUUGUUGCAUGUUUUGAAUUAUGAGAUUAUUAAUGAAUGAUUUUGUGUUAUGAUGUGUA